rnacentral:rRNA from 1 species
CCUACGGGUGGCAGCAGUGAGGAAUAUUGGUCAAUGGACGCAAGUCUGAACCAGCCAUGCCGCGUGCAGGAAGACGGCCCUAUGAGUUGUAAACUGCUUCUGUACGAGAGUAAAGGCAGAUACGUGUUCCUGUCUGAAAGUACCGUACGAAUAAGGAUCGGCUAACUCCGUGCCAGCAGCCGCGGUAAUACGGAGGAUCCAAGCGUUACCCGGAUUUAUUGGGUUUAAAGGGAGCGUAGGUGGUAGGGUAAGUUAGAGGUGAAAUCCCGGGGCUCAACUUCGGAAUUGCCUUUGAUACUGUUCGGCUAGAGAGUAGUUGCGGUAGGCGGAAUGUAUGGUGUAGCAGUGAAAUGCUUAGAGAUCAGACAGAACACCGAUUGCGAAGGCAGCUUACCAAGCUACUUCUGACGUUGAGGCACGAAAGCGUGGGGAGCAAACAGGAUUAGAUACCCCUGUAGUC